ensembl:lncRNA
CUUUAUAGCUCUUUGUGUCCACAGGAUCCACAUGGGGAAAUAAGAUCAAGAAUUCCAGAUUCAAGGUCAAAAUGUGUUUAGGGCGCAGACACAAACAUUUUUGCUAUUUGAUAUAAUAACUCCAAAGUCCGAGGAAGAGCCUGGUGCUCAAAACCCGGCCUGUUUGGCUGUUUUUUACAAAGUGAGGGCGAGAUCACGUUCACGGCUGUUGUGGCUGAAGUGCCGUUCUGGAGCACGUCCUCAUUCCACGCGGCACCAAAGCCACGACUGAUGCAGCAGUUGAUUCGUUCCAGGAGUCACUCGUCAGCGUCGCAGCCUGAUGAAACGAGGGCUGCAGUGGUUUCCUCUGCAGCAGGGAAAGAAAAACCAAUUAAAUAAGAAUAAAUAAAAUAAGAAAUAUGGCUCAUUAGCCAUAAUUCUUACUGUAACAGUUACUACACCCAAGUGCUGGCAUAUAGUCAAUAAGAAGACGAAAAGGCCGAUGCUAUUAGCAUUUGGGUGUCGGAGGCCAACAACACUAUUUUCACUCAGGCAGAACUGAGCUCAGAUAUUGCAUUACUCACCAGAGCGAAGCGUCUGCUGCAGACGUCCUUUUCUCCUGGAUGUUGGAUCGGAUCCCUGCUGCAGAGAUGUGCUGUAAUCAGUUUCUCCUUUUUUUACCUUUUUAAUUAAGUUAUUGUCGUGGUAGAAGAGCUCCGCCACCUCCCUGUGGAAACCAGAUUCUACUGUAUGUAUGUAUGUAUAUAUAUAUUAGAUAUAUUUCAAUGUAGUUUGUAAGUUUGUUUUUGUUGUACAUCGUUUUUGUAUGUUCCAUUCACUUCCACCCCGCGUGUGAUAGUCAGUGUUUCCAGCACCAGAGUCCCUGGUUGGUGCAGCAGGAUCUGGGGCCUCGUCCGGGUCUAUGAGGGAGGGGAAUGUCAUUUAGCUGCUUGUUUGAAACACUUUGCCUGUGGAGCGUACUGUAUAACCCAUGUAGUCAUCUGGGGGGGCGGAUGGGGCCCACAAAUGCAGUUUGUUACCAUGUGACACUUCUGCUGCUUAUUUCUGCUGCAUUCAUUCUGUGAUGGACAGAGUGGCUCGUUGGUUAUGUAGAGCUGUCAUGUGGAGAUGUCAUGUGGAGAUGUCAUGUAGAGAUGUCAUGUAGAGAUGUCAUGUGGAGAUGUCAUAUAGAGAUGUCAUGUGGAGAUGUCAUGUAGAGAUGUCAUGAGGAGAUGUCAUGGGGAGAUGUCAUGUAGAGAUGUCAUGAGGAGAUAUUAUGUAGAGAUGUCAUGUAGAGAUGUCAUGAGGAGAUAUUAUGUAGAGAUGUCAUGUAGAGAUGUCAUGUAGAGAUGUCAUGACAUUUAAAAGCAUAGAGACGAUGUUUAUUAUCAAAGACACGCUCCUGAUUAUCAAUCCGGUUUCUGAAGAGAACCUAAGAGAAUUCUGGUGCCAGACUUCAGUGUGGGACAAUAGUGUGAUUCUGGGUCGAUAAUGAUCCUCCACCCUGAGUGAUGAGGCAUAUUUUACAAUAAAGAAAAGUGCUUUGAGUGCAGUGUUUUUUUUUUCCUCUGCUUUAAUGGUCAGCGCGGGAGACCGCCUGCACUGCCGACAGUCCUCCGUCUGUUUAUCUGAGGCUGUGAUAGAUGGGCUGUGGACAUUCCCUCCCCCGCGUGUAGCGACAAUCAGUCUCCCCAUCACUGCUGAUAACACAGCGUGCCAAAAACACAAACUCAAACAGUGGCAGCAGGUCCUCGCAACAAACUGGGUUAAUGAUUCAGGAGGCCUGCCUGUCAGCCUCUGGACCUCCACAGGUCCAGACUUGUGUUUUCCAUCCAUCACAAGAUUUUUUGGGCCCAUAAUUGCAGCUUUACAAUAAAGGAACAUUGUUAAAUCCUUAACACAGCGGCAACUUGGUUCAUACAGUUACUUAGAAAAAUGAUAGAAGUAAAAUACAAACUCUUACUGAUGCAAAUGCUUACAUACAGUUUGAGAAAUCAGGCUUAAACAAAUGGUUCUUAUGAAGCCUUUUAGGUUUAUUGAACACAUUUUGAACCAAAUUGGAAUUUAACCAGUUAUUUACAGGCGCUAAGCCUCAAAAUUAGAAGUUCUGGACGGAGGCAGAAUAUCUCCAAUCACAGGACGGCUGACUGCGAUCCGAGGAUCAUUCUGUCGGCAAAUGAAGUGGCAAACUAAUCUAAUGUUUGUCAGCUGCAAUUUCCUGAUCCAAUUUGUAACCUGAGUUUCUCGAAGGGGAACUUAGCGUUGCAUCGGCAGUUUAACAGCCAGCGGAUUCUCAUCUGGUGGAGGAGAAAACAAUGAAUGUCCACUUGAAGAAUGCAGGGAAGUCCAGAACUUUAACAUUGUUUGACUUUCAUAACUAGUGAUUCAUUAUUCCUUAUUUAAGACUACAUUACCUCUAAUUUGACCACCUGUGUUUUCUGUUUAAUUACUGUACCGAGUUGUUUUAUAUGAUUUCCCAGGACACACUUGUCUGGCACUUCUUCCACAGGGAUAGAAUGAAUAUGUUUAGUCUUUUAACCACGCAGCAUUUCUAUUCUUUUUGGCACUCGUUGAGCGAUUCAGACUUGUAAAGACAAACUAAUUACAUAAAGUGUAAACCAUGUCACAUGAUGCUACUCAGACAAUCAAAUAUGUGUUUUCUGAUUUGCAUCACGAAUGCAGUUAGAUU